rnacentral:rRNA from 1 species
CAGAGGUGGCAAGCGUUGUUCGGAAUUACUGGGCGUAAAGGGCGCGUAGGCGGCCUUCUAAGUCAGACGUGAAAUCCCCAGGCUUAACCUGGGAACUGCGUCUGAUACUGGAGGGCUCGAGUGCGGGAGAGGGAUGUGGAAUUCCAGGUGUAGCGGUGAAAUGCGUAGAUAUCUGGAGGAACACCGGUGGCGAAGGCGGCAUCCUGGACCGACACUGACGCUGAGGCGCGAAAGCUAGGGGAGCAAACGGGAUUAGAUACCCCGGUAGUCCUAGCCCUAAACGAUGAGUGCUUGGUGUGGCGGGUAUCGAUCCCUGCCGUGCCGAAGCUAACGCAUUAAGCACUCCGCCUGGGGAGUACGGUCGCAAGGCUG